UACGUAGGCGGCCAUAUAAGUCAGAAGUGAAAGGCUACGGCUUAACCGUAGUAAGCUUUUGAAACUGUAUGGCUUGAGUGCAGGAGAGGAAAGCGGAAUUCCUAGUGUAGCGGUGAAAUGCGUAGAUAUUAGGAAGAACACCAGUAGCGAAGGCGGCCUUCUGGACUGAAACUGACGCUGAGGUACGAAAGCGUGGGGAGCGAACAGGAUUAGAUACCCUGGUAGUCC
rnacentral:rRNA from 1 species